rnacentral:sRNA from 1 species
GUCGGGCGUGUGGUGGCACACACCUGUAAUCCCAGCUACCUGGGAGGCUGAGGCAGGAGGAUUGGAAAUUCAAAGCUAGAGUCUGCAACUUAGCGAGGCCCUAAGCAACUUAGCGAGACCCUGUCUCAA